UCUUUCGAAGGAUUUGGUAGGAAUAACAUCUCCAAUGACCGGUGAUUCUAUCUAGAAUAUAAUUUAUGUUAAAAUUUGGUUUUAUGUGAAUGCUGAAUAAGUUGUUUUUUUUUUUGGGUUUAGGUGAAGUAUAGGAGCGGAGUUUCGUUGCUUUUUACAGCAUCACCGGUCAUUGGAGAAGAAGAUAGAGUCCAAGUUGUCAUUAAUUUUUUCUUUUAAAUGGAAAAGUAAUAAGUUGGGAAUUUUGGGUCAAUUUUGUUGGAUAUGGGCAUGGAAUUUUUGUUGAGUUUCUGGUACUAGGAAGUACAUCCUCGUCGAGACAAGUACUAAGGUUGGGAAAACCUGGAAAAUACCGUACUUGGGUCUCCAAUCAUCACCCUCGAAGGAGGUUGGAUGAGAAACACACCUUCACUUGUGUAGAAGCGACAGGUUUUUAUAAUUAAAAUUUGCAUGUCAAUUUGUUUAAUAAUACCUUUAAAUUUUA